rnacentral:rRNA from 1 species
AGUGAACGCUGGCGGUAGGCCUAACACAUGCAAGUCGAACGGCAGCACAGUAAGAGCUUGCUCUUACGGGUGGCGAGUGGCGGACGGGUGAGGAAUACAUCGGAAUCUACUUUUUCGUGGGGGAUAACGUAGGGAAACUUACGCUAAUACCGCAUACGACCUACGGGUGAAAGCAGGGGAUCUUCGGACCGGGCGCGAUUGAAUGAGCCGAUGUCGGAUUAGCUAGUUGGGGGGGUAAAGGCCCACCAAGGCGACGAUCGGCAGCUGGUCUGAGUGGAUGGUAGGCCACACUGGAACUGAGACAGGGUCCAUACUCCUACGGGAGGCAGCAGUGGGGAAUAUUGGACAAUGGGCGCAAGCCUUAUCCAGCCAUACCGCGUGGGUUAAGAAGGCCUUCGGUUUGUAAAGACCUUUUGUUGGGAAAGAAAAGCAGCAGGUUAAUACCCCGCUGUUCUGACGGUACCCAAAGAAUAAGCACCGGCUAACUUCGUG